CUACGGGAGACAGCAGUGAGGAAUAUUGCACAAUGGGGGGAACCCUGAUGCAGCAACGCCGCGUGGAGGAUGACGCAUUUCGGUGUGUAAACUCCUUUUAUAUGUCAAGAAAAUGACGGUAGCAUAUGAAUAAGCACCGGCUAACAUCCGUGCCAGCAGCCGCGGUGAAUACGGAGGGUGCAAGCGUUACUCGGAAUCACUGGGCGUAAAGGACGCGUAGGCGGGUUGGAAAGUCAGGUGUGAAAUCCUACAGCUUAACUGUAGAACUGCACUUGAAACUUCUAAUCUAGAGUAUGGGAGGGGGAGAUGGAAUUAGUGGUGUAGGGGUAAAAUCCGUAGAUAUCACUAGGAAUACCUAAAGCGAAGGCGAUCUCCUGGAACAUUACUGACGCUAAGGCGUGAAAGCGUGGGGAGCAAACAGGAUUAGAUACCCUAGUAGUC
rnacentral:rRNA from 1 species